rnacentral:rRNA from 1 species
UGGGGAAUCUUGGACAAUGGGCGAAAGCCUGAUCCAGCCAUGCCGCGUGAGUGAAGAAGGCCUUAGGGUUGUAAAGCUCUUUUGGCAGGGACGAUAAUGACGGUACCUGCAGAAUAAGCCCCGGCAAACUUCGUGCCAGCAGCCGCGGUAAUACGAAGGGGGCUAGCGUUGUUCGGAAUUACUGGGCGUAAAGCGCACGUAGGCGGGUUGUUAAGUCAGGGGUGAAAUCCUGGAGCUCAACUCCAGAACUGCCUUUGAUACUGGCAACCUAGAGACUGGAAGAGGUUAGUGGAAUUCCCAGUGUAGAGGUGAAAUUCGUAGAUAUUGGGAAGAACACCAGUGGCGAAGGCGGCUAACUGGUCCAGUACUGACGCUGAGGUGCGAAAGCGUGGGGAGCAAACAGGAUUAGAUACCCCCGUAGUCC